UACGGAGGGUGCAAGCGUUAUCCGGAUUCACUGGGUUUAAAGGGUGCGUAGGAGGGCAGGUAAGUCAGUGGUGAAAUCUCCGAGCUUAACUUGGAAACUGCCGUUGAUACUAUCUGCCUUGAAUAUUGUGGAGGUGAGCGGAAUAUGUCAUGUAGCGGUGAAAUGCUUAGAUAUGACAUAGAAUACCCAUUGCGAAGGCAGCUAACUACGCGAUUAUUGACGCUGAUGCACGAAAGCGUGGGGAUCAAACAGG
rnacentral:rRNA from 1 species